GGCUAACGCUGGCGGCGUGUCUUAGCCAUGCAAGUCGAGCGGACUUAUGGGGUAACUUAUAAGUCAGCGGCGGACGGCGGAGUAACACGUAGCUAACCUACCCUCUGGACGGGGAUAACCUACCGAAAGGUGGGCUAAUACCCGAUGUAGUCAUCCUGUAUAGGGGUGAUGAAAGGUGGGCUUCUGUUUACAAGCUCAUGCUGGAGGAGGGGGCUGCGGCCUAUCAGGUAGUUGGUAGGGUAAUAGCCUACCAAGCCGAUGACGGGUAGCCGGCCUGAGAGGGUGACCGGCCCGAGGGGCACUGAGAUACGGGUCCCACUCCUACGGGAGGCAGCAGGCUAGAAAUUUGGGCAAUGGGGGAAACCCUGACCCAGUGACGCCGCGUGCAGGAAGGAGCCCUUCGGGGUGUAAACUGCUGUCGUGUAGGGAGAAGGGUACUAAGGUGAACAAUCUUAGUACUUGACGGUACUACAGGAGGAAGCCCAGGCUAACCUCGUGCCAGCAGCCGCGGUAAAAUAGCUACU
rnacentral:rRNA from 1 species